GGUUCAAAUGAGUGACAGACCAUAAAUAAACUCUGUUGUAAUCUGUUACAAUGUAGCUCUUAUCAGCUGAAAUAAUCUAUUUUUAUCUCCUUUCUUAAAUAAUACAGAGUAAUGAGGUAGGUGGAAGCUACCACAUGGAGGGCCUGCAGGAGGAGCCUUGCUCUGUUGGAGGAACGGGGUGUUACUAUAUAGUAUUGUGACGGACCGUCACCCCCAAAUCCAGAAGUUCCUGAGGGAGGCCAAUAUCACGCAUGACUAUGAUGUCUGGCACAUGGAAAAAGAUAUUAUUCCGUGUCUUAUUUUUCCACAUGAGAGGGCAAAAAAGUGUAUUUAUGAUCACUGUAGUUCCUUUAUUGUUACACUGACAUAGUUAUUGAUGUGUUCCAGCCUAUUAUUAAUUCAAUUUAGACUGUAAGCUAUAUAAUUUCUUCUAUGUUAAUUCAAAGUAAUUUGGUGGUUCACUAUUAAUAUAUGCUAUAUAUAUAUGUGAAAGACUCUAAAGCUUUUUGUCUUGUUGGGACUGUCCAAGAAACUGUUGAAGAUCAAACAGAACAAGGAGUGUGAGAAACUGAACAAGUGGCUUCACAGUAUUAAAAACCACAUCAACUGGACGGCUGGUUCCUCUACAUCGGUGCCAGAGAGAGUAGCAAAGUGGAUGCCCAUUUUAAACCAAGAUACUGUUUUCCCCCAGUGUUUUCAUCCAACCCACACUUCAAGGGACAAGAGCAAGUGGUUUACAGCAGGAACACCAGCCUUCUGCAGACUGGCGAAAGUGCUGACCUUUUCUGGCUUUAUGGACAGAACCGCUGAAGAGUGUGACAGAAAACGAAAACGGACCGAAUCCUGGUCCGCUGCACAGCCUCAGCACAUGGGUCGCCACGCUACCAACCACGCUAAGCGGCACCCCUGCAAUCUACUGUUGACCUAUUACAAAAAGACUGUACUUGGCAGCCUUGCACUUCAAUGAAAAUACAGAUCAUCCACAGGCAACAGCCUCAGCUGGUGAGCUGCUGUUCAGGCUUCAUUUUCCAAAGUGGAACAAGGGAGAAUGCACAGCAAAG